UACGUAGGGGGCAAGCGUUGUCCGGAUUUAUUGGGCGUAAAGAGCGUGUAGGCGGUCGGCCAAGUCUGAUGUGAAAGCCCGAGGCUCAGCCUCGGAAGUGCGUCGGAAACGAGUCGGCUGGAGCGCGAUAGAGGAGGGUGGAAUUCCUGGUGUAGCGGUGAAAUGCGUAGAUAUCAGGAGGAACACCGGCGGCGAAGGCGGCCCUCUGGAUCGUUGCUGACGCUGAUACGCGAAAGCGUGGGGAGCAAACAGG
rnacentral:rRNA from 1 species